CUGGAAGUGGUGUGUCGGAAGAAAGCCCCCAAUUUGCGGCGUGACCUCUCAUUAAUAAAAGCUAAUAACUGGGCCGCCAGUGCUAAAAAGUGGAAACGGGAGGUUUAUCCGGCUCCUGAAGAAUACCUCUGCUGCCGAGAAGAUGGUAAACCCCGAGGCUCGCAGCAACCGAGUCGUCGGGCAAGGCAGAGAAGUAAUAACCAGUGGAGUCCGUCGGAAGCCUCGACCCCCAUAUGGGAUGUCCAGGAAAUGUUGGCCGUCCUGCCCCAGGAUUGGUAACCCACCACUGGGGAAACCAAAGUCACCAAAUAAGGACAUAGGGUGAAGAAGACGCAGCUGAGGAAGACUCCGCAGCCUUUAUCACCGAUCACCAGGAGACAGAAGGAUGACCCCCUAGCAACAACCAGCGCAGGCGCAGAGUACUCCGAGAUAACAUGGACUCCUGAAGGAUAGAGAGGAUGAAAGGACUGAAUCAGAAACUAGUUGGCGCGGCAGUAGGUGGAGCGGAGACUCCCCUGUCGCCCAGCGCUGAGCCUUUGCUUAUGUAGUAUAACUGCUUCAAUAAUUAAUAAAUUCUUUGAUUGGAAA